CCAAUUGUUUUGAUCUCUUCCUGAGGGAAAAAUAUAAUAUGUAAUCCCUGUUAGGUUGGAUCUCUCUUCUGUAUUUACUUUGGUUUUCAUUUCUUUAUCAUUUUUCUCUGUGUUUUGAGACUAAAUCUCAAACUUGUCCUUUCCCUCAUGGUCUCAAGUUUUUGUAAUGUUAAUUCUGAUCUUUUAUUCUCCCAAUGUGAAUAAUAGGUGUUAUUGAAUAUUUGAUUUCUCUGCAGUCCUCUUACCUGGCUUCUUUCCUGUCUGGCCGUUUUAUUUCAGGAUGUUAUUUCUUUAUGCCAACUGCACCUUUUUCAUGGAGGUCAUGAAGGCUAACCUGUUACAGAGGAUGCCAAAAAGGCAGAAUGCAGGAACAGCCCCCACUGAACGGGGCGCACCCGCCGGCACCUCUGACACUCAGCAGCCCCCUCAGUUCACGGAGGGUUCCGAGCCUCACCCGCGCCCCUUAGGUGCUGGCAGCUUCUCCUGGGUUUUAUGUAACCCCCUCGGCCAUUCCAGAAGAAAGCAGCCCUUUGGAUGCCCCCUUUGACCUGUGAACUUCAGGGGUUUUUAAAGGUAAAGUUAACCAUGUCUGGUAAACGUAAUAUUUUCUGAAUGAAUGGAUGAAAAUGAAUAUUUCAUCAUCUCUUUGAUUUACUAUAAAUGCUUUCACAAAAAAUCCUUAUGUUUUUGAACUAUAAAGUCAUGUCAGAAAAAAAUGUUUCAUGUACUGAAAAGCUUUCUCCAAAGGGAACUGUAGCAUUUUACUAGAGUGAAUGAACAUUGGGAAAAAGGAGAUACCCAGACUUUUGAAGGAUUACUACACAUUGGUUCUGAAUUGAUGCUAAAUCCAGGGGAAGGAAAAUGCUGCUGUGGUCCAUUAGUCAAAGUAGGGUGUAUGGGUGGUUUUGGCCUAAAUUUAAAUCACUGUGGGCACAGUAGACCUGCAGACUCCUGUUGUUAUCUCCUAAGUUGCUGACUGCUUAAUUUGAAUAGAUAUACUUGUCAAUUGGAAGCAUCAUCACAUAGCUUCUCUGACUUACAAAGUAAAGACAUUAGGAAGUCCCCUAGGACUUCCCCUUCUUGCUAGGAUGGUAAACUCAAUACUGUGUCUCUGGAGAAAUUGCAGGGAUUGUUGCCACUAUCAAGGACUUGAAAAAUGCCGCUCUAUUGAUGUUUGUUGCAUCUCUAUUUCAUUUGCUUGUUUGGACUCUGUAGAAGUGGGAUGGAGCUUGGAGAAUGACCAUGGAAUAGCAUACAUUUAAUCAUUUAAAUGUAUUUAAUCAUUUGAUAUUGACUGUACUUGCAGCUUCUGCUCAAGAUGUGGCAUAUAUACUGAAGCAAAUCAGUAAAGCAAAUCACAGCCUGGCAUGUGGUGUGCAGCUAAUGACCUGGAAAAUGCUCCCCUCCCUCCAUGCUAAUCUGUAAGAACCACAGCAAUAGUUUGUUUUUGCAUGGUAGGACUUACUCUUUGUGGUCCUGCUGCU
rnacentral:lncRNA from 1 species